rnacentral:tRNA from 1 species
AAGGCUUUAGCUUAAUUAAAGUAUCUGCUUUGCAUGUAGAAGAUGUGGGUUAAUGUCCUGCAAGUCUUA